AUUAAAAUAAAAAAAUAAAAGGUGUUCAAAAUAUCAAUAAAUACUCUAACAGAACUAAAAUAACAUUGAUUACAACAAAGACUUUAACUAUAGAGGUUAUAGUAUUUUCAGAGCAUGUGUAAUGUCCCAUCUUAUUAAUGAUUGCAAUACAUUUAUAGUUCAUUCCUUCCUGAUCAAUAAAACCAUAAUCAUGUUCUGUUAAUUUAAAUGAUGCCGAGAUUACGUGUCAUUUUUAUGAUUGUGUUGAGUUGAGCAAUCAGUUGAGAGAAUUUCAGGACAGGAAAGGUCACUGAUCAAGUCCUCCUGUGGCUCCCAGCCUUUCUCAACAAUCAUCACAGGCUUCAGGGACACAAACAGCACAUCAGCAUGCUGCUGAGCACCUCAAAGCUGUUUGCAUUCUAGAGCAGUGAUUCAAGACGACACAUCUCCAUAUGGAAGAAAGUUCCAGCGGAAACGAGCAACUUCCACAGAAAGUUCCACCCUCUCACUCCCAUUUUCUACGCCCACAUGAUAUGACAGCUAGACAUGACCACGUGUACCUCCCUAAUGCAGCCUGUGCAUGUGGAAAGUUUAAAGGAACAUCCUUCCAGUGGUUUGGAUUUGAGAAGCGUUGCCAGAUCUUUUUAGGA